rnacentral:rRNA from 1 species
GAUGAACGCUGGCGGCGUGCCUAAUACAUGCAAGUCGAGCGAACAGAUGAGGAGCUUGCUCCUCUGACGUUAGCGGCGGACGGGUGAGUAACACGUGGAUAACCUACCUAUAAGACUGGGAUAACUUCGGGAAACCGGAGCUAAUACCGGAUAAUAUAUUGAACCGCAUGGUUCAAUAGUGAAAGACGGUUUUGCUGUCACUUAUAGAUGGAUCCGCGCCGCAUUAGCUAGUUGGUAAGGUAACGGCUUACCAAGGCAACGAUGCGUAGCCGACCUGAGAGGGUGAUCGGCCACACUGGAGCUGGGACACGGUCCAGACUCCUACGGGAGGCAGCAGUAGGGAAUCUGCCGCAAUGGGCGAAAGCCUGACGGAGCAACGCCGCGUGAGUGAUGAAGGUCUUCGGAUCGUAAAACUCUGUUAUGAGGGAAGAACAAAUGUGUAAGUAACUAUGCACGUCUUGACGGUACCUAAUCAGAAAGCCACGGCUAACUACGUG